rnacentral:rRNA from 1 species
AUUGAACGCUGGCGGCAGGCCUAACACAUGCAAGUCGAGCGGAUGAAGGGAGCUUGCUCCUGGAUUCAGCGGCGGACGGGUGAGUAAUGCCUAGGAAUCUGCCUGGUAGUGGGGGAUAGCGUCCGGAAACGGGCGCUAAUACCGCAUACGUCCUGAGGGAGAAAGUGGGGGAUCUUCGGACCUCACGCUAUCAGAUGAGCCUAGGUCGGAUUAGCUAGUUGGUGGGGUAAAGGCCUACCAAGGCGACGAUCCGUAACUGGUCUGAGAGGAUGACCAGUCACACUGGAACUGAGACACGGUCCAGACUCCUACGGGAGGCAGCAGUGGGGAAUAUUGGACAAAGGGCGAAAGCCUGAUCCAGCCAUGCCGCGUGUGUGAAGAAGGUCUUCGGAUUGUAAAGCACUUUAAGUUGGGAGGAAGGGCAGUAAGUUAAUACCUUGCUGUUUUGACGUUACCAACAGAAUAAGCACCGGCUAACUUCGUG